UCUUAUGGAUGAGCAAAGAAAGCAGUUUUUUGAGAUAAAAUCCAUUCCUGGUGAAGAUGCUGUGAA
rnacentral:pre_miRNA from 1 species